UACGUAGGGUGCAAGCGCUAAUCGGAAUUACUGGGCGUAAAGCGUGCGCAGGCGGUGAUGUAAGACAGGUGUGAAAUCCCCGGGCUUAACCUGGGAACUGCAUUUGUGACUGCAUCGCUGGAGUGCGGCAGAGGGGGAUGGAAUUCCGCGUGUAGCAGUGAAAUGCGUAGAUAUGCGGAGGAACACCGAUGGCGAAGGCAAUCCCCUGGGCCUGUACUGACGCUCAUGCACGAAAGCGUGGGGAGCAAACAGG
rnacentral:rRNA from 1 species